CCUACGGGAGGCAGCAGUGGGGAAUAUUGGACAAUGGGCGAAGGCCUGAUGCAGCAACGCCGCGUGGAGGAUGACACAUUUCGGUGCGUAAACUCCUUUUAUAUAAGAAGAUAAUGACGGUAUUAUAUGAAUAAGCACCGGCUAACUCCGUGCCAGCAGCCGCGGUAAUCUCUAG
rnacentral:rRNA from 1 species